UACGUAGGUGGCAAGCGUUGUCCGGAUUUACUGGGCGUAAAGCGCGUGUAGGCGGAAAUGCCAGUCCGGCCUGAAAGCCCUCGGCUCAACCGAGGAUCCGGGUCGGAAACUGCAUUUCUUGAGGGCGGAAGAGGCGUGUGGAAUUCCUGGUGUAGCGGUGAAAUGCGUAGAGAUCAGGAGGAACACCCAUGGCGAAGGCAGCACGCUGGUCCGACCCUGACGCUGAGACGCGAAAGCGUGGGGAGCGAACGGG
rnacentral:rRNA from 1 species